GGCGCCUUGUACCAGUGGUAAGGGUGUGGGCUUCUAUGCCAUAGGUCGCAGGUUCGAACCCUGCUAGCUUCC